GCGCGGCCGCCGCCCCCGGACCCCAAACCCACCCCCUUCCCUCCGCCGCCCUUAAAGGCCGAAGCGCGGCCGGCCGAGCCGCCGGCCCAUGGCCGCGCUGAGGGGCCCGCCCGGGCUGCAGGCCCUGCUGCAGGCCCUGCUGCAGGCCCUGCUGCCGGCCCUGCCGGCCCUGCUGGCCCUGCUGCUGCCGCUGCUGCCGCUGCCGGCCCUGCUGCCGCCGGCGGGGGCGUCCCGCCCGGGCAGCGCCGACCGCUGCAGCUGGAGGGGCAGUGGUUUGAGCUGGGAGCCCCGCUCCCGUGCCGUGGAGCAGGUCCACCUGCGCUGCACCGUGGGCUCCCUGGAGUGGAUGUACCCAGCACGAGCCCUGCGUGUGCUCCUGGAGCCCAACCUGGCCAGCGCCCAGCACACCACGGUCUGCAUCAAACCCGCCAGCGACUUCCAGGGCGCCAGCAUCUACGUGGAACGUGCUGGGCAGCUGCACCUGGUGGUAAGCGAGGCAGAGGGGGCUCGGCCCCGCCACGUGUCCUGCUUCAGUGCCCACAGCCCACGGGGAGUGGCCCUGUUCCUGCAGGCCAGCCCGCAGAGGGACAUCAGCCGCCGCACCGCCAGCUUCCAGUACGAGCUGCUGAGCAACCAGAGCGCCGCCGGCCCCGACCUCAAAAAGAUGGCUCUGGCUGAAGCUAUGUGCCGUCCAUGUGACAACAUGGAACUCCUUAUGGCCAUUUGCAGCAGUGAUUUUGAGCUCUUAGUGCAGCAACAGGAGAUGCAGCUCCAGUCCAGUCCUGCUUCCCCAGCACACCCCCCGACUUUUCCACACCCAGCACUUGGACCAUGUGUCAAGAGCUCCCUGGAAGUAAAAGAAGUUGUUUCUUAACACUUGCAUUUACUUCAAAAAGAAAACAUGGAAGAUCAUCCAAACAGGCUACAAUGCUCCUUAAUUCUGGUAUCUGGACAAAACAGAACUGAAAGGCGCCGGUAUAACCUGCCACAAAGACCAUCACCAGUCCUAGACCGGAGGCAGCAAAAUGUUUGAUUAUGCGAACAGAACUGAAGUGAUAUUUGGCUGAGAUGGGAACUGCAUACCCAUGCCCCAGUCCAAAAGAUAAUAUGGCUUAAUCUGGUUCCUCAGUCCCGAUAAGCCCACCCUGGGCUUAUCUGGACUAAACCUCUGUCAUCUUUCAAAGACUCAGCACCUUCACUGUAUUUUCUGUGGCACUCAUAUGGAAUCAGCUGAUAUGGACAAAGGUAUGCAAAUAAAAAGGGUAAAUAUAAACCCUCACAACUGUAGCUUCUGCUUCUGGAGCAUAGCACAAGAUGUUUAGAGCUCAGAUGAGCAAUUUAAGUUCCACAUUGUCAGAGAGGGCUUGAGAUUCUGGUUUGGAGAAAGCCCAACCACUCCUGUUGUCUAUGAGACAAUAAAUUUUAACAUAAAAAAUUAUUGCUAGCAUUUGCAUAGCUACUUAAGUUAUUACUCACUUCUGCUUGCAAAUACUUGAGAACUUCCUGUGAUUCUGAACCGAAUCUAACUCUUUGCCCAGCCACUGCACAUUCAAAGUACCCCACAGAGCUUAAGCAGGGCUUUAGAAGCACAGUGGGAUAAAUGGCACCUCACAUUCCUGCCCCCAGCAAAGGGGCUGAGCGAUGGCAGAGCCCCAGGGACAGAAAGGCAGCAGUGAGGGUUUGCUCAGUGUUUCACCACCUCCUUGUGGGAUUCAUGUGCAUAUUGUUCCAUCCCAGAUUCCUCAGAGCAGGACGUGGAUGGGACAGGGAGGGCUCUUGGCAGUUCCCUCAGACUGCCUGCCCCUGGUCUGAUUUGAAUUGAGCAGUGAAGCAGUAGCUUCACGCAAACUUGGUAACAAUGGGUAAAUAAAACUCAAGAUUUUACGUUCAGAACACCCUCUCUUCUCAGAGGUGUAUUUAUUUUCCAGCAUCACCCGUGUGGCACAGCCAGAGCAACUCAAAAUCAUGCCAAAAAUGCACAGUAGGCAAUGGAACAACAGGUACUGUGAAACAUUUGCAUGUAGCUUUUGCAACUUCCUAAGAAUUAAUCAGUAACAAUUUCCCUUAGAAAAAUAAUCUUUCCAUUAAUCCCCACUGUCUGAGCAUGACUGUGCUCCUGUUUGACAUCCUCUUGUCAUUCAGUUUCCAAGAACAGCCACACAAAUCUAACCAAACUUUUCUCUAAUAAACAAAUCCUAGCAUGAAAUAAUGGUAUCUAAAGUGAACCACAAAACACAAAUACAUUUUACUUGUAUAAAAAUGAUUCCUUCACAAACAAGACAUUUUACUAGGGCUGACGCAAAAAUGCACAGAACUUUAAUGGAAUCAUGCACUAGGUCAGAGUACAUGACAGCUAAACCAUAAUCUAUAAAUUUGCAGGUCUUUAUCUAGGGUUUGCUUUUUCACAUGUCUUUCCUGUAGGAGUCAGCUACCUUGCA